rnacentral:rRNA from 1 species
AUUGAACGCUGGCGGCAUGCCUUACACAUGCAAGUCGAACGGCAGCAUGGAGAGCUUGCUCUCUGAUGGCGAGUGGCGAACGGGUGAGUAAUGCAUCGGAACGUACCGUGUAAUGGGGGAUAACGUAGCGAAAGUUACGCUAAUACCGCAUACGACCUGAGGGUGAAAGCAGGGGAUCGCAAGACCUUGCGUUAUACGAGCGGCCGAUGUCAGAUUAGCUAGUUGGUGAGGUAAAGGCUCACCAAGGCGACGAUCUGUAGCGGGUCUGAGAGGAUGAUCCUCCACACUGGGACUGAGACACGGCCCAGACUCCUACGGGAGGCAGCAGUGGGGAAUUUUGGACAAUGGGGGUAACCCUGAUCCAGCCAUGCCGCGUGAGUGAAGAAGGCCUUCGGGUUGUAAAGCUCUUUCGGCCGGGAAGAAAUCGCACAGGCUAAUACUCUGUGUGGAUGACGGUACCGGCAUAAGAAGCACCGGCUAACUACGUGCCAGCCGCCGCAGUAA